CCAAAUGCUUUUGUCAAAACAAAAAGAUUGAGCUUUGGUAUGGAAACGUACUAAGUUAUUGCUUUCAAUUUUAGAGAAACACUGGAAUUAACAAAAAUGGCAUUCCUGAGCCAAAUCUUGUUUCCGAAUAAAACAAGGUUCAGACAAAAGAAAAGGAUAGAUGCAGAGACUCAAUGGAACUAUCUAACACAUGAAGUGGAAUGCGUUGGUUGAGG
rnacentral:ribozyme from 1 species